UGCUGGAUGAUUGUAUUAUACGAU
rnacentral:siRNA from 1 species